GAUGAGCUGUGGAUAGGGGUGAAAGGCUAAACAAACUUGGAAAUAGCUGGUUCUCUCCGAAAACUAUUUAGGUAGUGCCUCAAGUAUUACCGACGGGGGUAGAGCACUGUUUUGGCUAGGGGGUCAUGGCGACUUACCAAACCAAUGCAAACUCCGAAUACCGUCGAGUACAGCUUGGGAGACAGAGCACCGGGUGCUAACGUCCGGACUCAAGAGGGAAACAACCCAGACCGCCAGCUAAGGUCCCUAAAAUUGGCUAAGUGGGAAACGAAGUGGGAAGGCUAAAACAGUCAGGAUGUUGGCUUAGAAGCAGCCAUCAUUUAAAGAAAGCGUAAUAGCUCACUGAUCGAGUCGUCCUGCGCGGAAGAUGUAACGGGGCUAAGCCAGUUACCGAAGCUGCGGAUUUGCAAUUUAUUGCAAGUGGUAGGAGAGCGUUCUGUAGGCCUGUGAAGGUGUCUGGUAACGGGUGCUGGAGGUAUCAGAAGUGCGAAUGCUGACAUGAGUAGCGUUAAAGGGGGUGAAAAGCCCCCUCGCCGUAAGCGCAAGGUUUUCUACGCAACGUUCAUCGGCGUAGAGUGAGUCGGCCCCUAAGGCGAGGCAGAGAUGCGUAGCUGAUGGGAAACAGGUCAAUAUUCCUGUACCGAUGUGUAGUGCGAUGUGGGGACGGAGAAGGUUAGCUCAGCCAACUGUUGGAUAUGUUGGUUCAAGCCUGUAGUCGUGCCUGGUAGGUAAAUCCGCCGGGCUUAGAUGAGGGGUGAUAACGAGUCUGCUUGCAGACGAAGUGAGUGAUACCCUGCUUCCAGGAAAAGCCACUAAGCUUCAGCUACACACGACCGUACCGCAAACCGACACUGGUGCGCGAGAUGAGUAUUCUAAGGCGCUUGAGAGAACUCAGGAGAAGGAACUCGGCAAAUUGAUACCGUAACUUCGGGAGAAGGUAUGCCCCAAGUAGGUGAACUCGUACAGAGGGAGCCCAAAGGGGUUGCAAAAAAUCGGUGGCUGCGACUGUUUAAUAAAAACACAGCACUCUGCAAACACGAAAGUGGACGUAUAGGGUGUGACGCCUGCCCGGUGCUGGAAGAUUAAAUGAUGGGGUGCAAGCUCUUGAUUGAAGUCCCAGUAAACGGCGGCCGUAACUAUAACGGUCCUAAGGUAGCGAAAUUCCUUGUCGGGUAAGUUCCGACCUGCACGAAUGGCGUAACGAUGGCCACACUGUCUCCUCCUGAGACUCAGCGAAGUUGAAAUGUUUGUGAUGAUGCAAUCUCCCCGCGGAAAGACGGAAAGACCCCAUGAACCUUUACUGUAGCUUUGUAUUGGACUUUGAACAGAUCUGUGUAGGAUAGGUGGGAGGCUUUGAAGUAGGGUCGCUAGAUCUUAUGGAGCCAACGUUGAAAUACCACCCUGGUGUGUUUGAGGUUCUAACCUAGGUCCAUUAUCUGGAUCGGGGACAGUGCAUGGUAGGCAGUUUGACUGGGGCGGUCUCCUCCCAAAGCGUAACGGAGGAGUUCGAAGGUACGCUAGUUACGGUCGGACAUCGUGACGAUAGUGCAAUGGCAUAAGCGUGCUUAACUGCGAGACUGACAAGUCGAGCAGAUGCGAAAGCAGGACAUAGUGAUCCGGUGGUUCUGUAUGGAAGGGCCAUCGCUCAACGGAUAAAAGGUACU
rnacentral:rRNA from 1 species